rnacentral:rRNA from 1 species
ACAUCGAAAGCUUGCUUUUGAUGGGCGUCGACCGGCGUACGGGUGAGUAACGCGUAUCCAACCUGCCCACCACUUGGGGAUAACCUUGCGAAAGUAAGACUAAUACCCAUAUGAUCUCUCUAGAAGACAUCUGAAAGAGAUUAAAGAUUUAUCGGUGAUGGAUGGGGAUGCGUCUGAUUAGCUUGUUGGCGGGGUAACGGCCCACCAAGGCAACGAUCAGUAGGGGUUCUGAGAGGAAGGUCCCCCACAUUGGAACUGAGACACGGUCCAAACUCCUACGGGAGGCAGCAGUGAGGAAUAUUGGUCAAUGGACGAGAGUCUGAACCAGCCAAGUGGCGUGCAGGAUGACGGCCCUAUGGGUUGUAAACUGCUUUUAUAAGGGAAUAAAGUUAGUCUCGUGAGACUUUUUGCAUGUACCUUAUGAAUAAGGACCGGCUAAUUCCGUGCCAGCAGCCGCGGUAAUACGGAAGGUCCGGGCGUUAUCCGGAUUUAUUGGGUUUAAAGGGAGCGUAGGCCGGAGAUUAAGCGUGUUGUGAAAUGUAGAUGCUCAACAUCUGCACUGCAGCGCGAACUAGUUUCCUUGAGUACGCACAAAGUGGGCGGAAUUCGUGGUGUAGCGGUGAAAUGCUUAGAUAUCACGAAGAACUCCGAUUGCGAAGGCAGCUCACUGGAGCGCAACUGACGCUGAAGCUCGAAAGUGCGAGUAUCGAACAGGAUUAGAUACCCUGGUAGUCCGCACGGUAAACGAUGGAUGCCCGCUGUUGGUCUGAACA